GUGCCUGUGGCAUACUACCAUGCAGUCGAGCGGAUGAGAGGAGCUUGCUCCUGGAUUCAGCGGCGGACGGGUGAGUAAUGCCUAGGAAUCUGCCUGGUAGUGGGGGACAACGUUUCGAAAGGAACGCUAAUACCGCAUACGUCCUACGGGAGAAAGCAGGGGACCUUCGGGCCUUGCGCUAUCAGAUGAGCCUAGGUCGGAUUAGCUAGUUGGUGAGGUAAUGGCUCACCAAGGCAGACGAUUUCCGUUAUACUGGGUCUGAGAGGGAUGAUCAGUCACACUUGGAACUGAGAUCACAGUUCCAGACUCCUACGGAAGGCAGCAGUGGGGGAAUAUUGGACAAUGGCCGAAAGCCUGAUCCAGGCCAUGCCGCGUGUGUGGAAGAAGGUCUCCGGAUUGUAAAGCACUUUAAGUUGGGAGGAAGGGCAGUAACUUAAUACGUUGCUGUUUUGACGUUACCGACAGAAUAAGCACCGGCUAACUCUGUGCCAGCAGCCGCGGUAAUACAGAGGGGUGCAAGCGUUAAUCGGAAUUACUGGGCGUAAAGCGCGCGUAGGUGGUUUGUUAAGUUGGAUGUGAAAUCCCCGGGCUCAACCUGGGAACUGCAUUCAAAACUGACAAGCUAGAGUAUGGUAGAGGGUGGUGGAAUUUCCUGUGUAGCGGUGAAAUGCGUAGAUAUAGGAAGGAACACCAGUGGCGAAGGCGACCACCUGGACUGAUACUGACACUGAGGUGCGAAAGCGUGGGGAGCAAACAGGAUUAGAUACCCUGGUAGUCCACGCCGUAAACGAUGUCAACUAGCCGUUGGGAGCCUUGAGCUCUUAGUGGCGCAGCUAACGCAUUAAGUUGACCGCCUGGGGAGUACGGCCGCAAGGUUAAAACUCAAAUGAAUUGACGGGGGCCCGCACAAGCCGGUGGAGCAUGUGAUUAAAUUCGAAGCAACGCGAAGGAACCUUACCAUGGCCUUGACAUCCAAUUGAACGUUUCCAGAGAUGGACUGGUGGCCUUCGGGAACAUUGAGACAGGUGCUGCAUGACUUGACGUCAAGCUCGUGUCGUCAAAUGUUAGGGUUAAGUACAGUAACGAGACGCAACCCUCUGUCCGUAAGUAACCAGCACGUCAUGCUGGGCCACCUCCUAAGGCCAGACUGCCGGUGGACAAACCGGACCGGAAGGUAGGGAGGACCGUCAAGUCAUCAUCAGCCCUUACGACCUGCCCUACACUACGUGCCUACCAAGUGAUCGGCACAAAGCGUUGCCAAGCCGCAUAGGUGGAGCUAAUCCCAUAAAACCGAUCGUAGUCCGGAUCGCAGUCUGCAACUCGACUGCGUGAAGUCGGAAUCGCUAGUAAUCGUGAAUCAGAAUGUCACGGUGAAUACGUUCCCGGGCCUUGUACACACCGCCCGUCACACCAUGGGAGUGGGUUGCACCAGAAGUAGCUAGUCUAACCUUCGGGAGGAUUGGUAUACAGAGGAUGCCCGCUUUGCC
rnacentral:rRNA from 1 species